CCUACGGGGGGCAGCAGUGGGGAAUAUUGGACAAUGGGGGGAACCCUGAUCCAGCCAUGCCGCGUGUGUGAAGAAGGCCCUCGGGUUGUAAAGCACUUUCAGUGAGGAAGAACGCCUGGUGGUUAAUACCCAUCAGGAAAGACAUCACUCACAGAAGAAGCACCGGCUAACUCCGUGCCAGCAGCCGCGGUAAUACGGAGGGUGCGAGCGUUAAUCGGAAUUACUGGGCGUAAAGCGCGCGUAGGUGGCUUGAUAAGCCGGUUGUGAAAGCCCCGGGCUCAACCUGGGAACGGCAUCCGGAACUGUCAAGCUAGAGUGCAGGAGAGGAAGGUAGAAUUCCCGGUGUAGCGGUGAAAUGCGUAGAGAUCGGGAGGAAUACCAGUGGCGAAGGCGGCCUUCUGGACUGACACAGACACUGAGGUGCGAAAGCGUGGGUAGCAAACAGGAUUAGAUACCCUUGUAGUC
rnacentral:rRNA from 1 species